rnacentral:lncRNA from 1 species
GAGAAUGAAGUUCAAAGGAAACUUUCCAGUGGGAGUUCUAUGUGGAUAAGAAUAUGACUGCAUGUUUUAUUCACUUGGAAGAAGAACUUAAAUAUGAAGAUUUGCUAAACAUGGUUUCGUAUACAAGAGCAAGCUAUAACUUUGAGCGAUGGAAUUUCUUAGGAGGUGAAAAUUAUGGUUGAAGAUGUUCCCUCAAUCUCCAUAGAAAAUACUCGGCAACUAAUAUAUUUACAUCCUUAGUUUUAGGUAAAGACCUGUGUAAGAAAGUACACUCAUUUUAUUUUUUGGAAACUCAUUCUAAAAGUACCACAAGCUUUCCUAGAUAGCAUAUGUAUUUUAUAAUGAUACCACAUUUAACACUUUCCUGAUUGAAUUACUGAAAAUGUUUCAAGAUAUUCUGAAACUUCUUCAGUAACAACCUAAAUGAAAUAAAAGUCUUCAUAAUUCAUAACAAACUUCUUAGGAACAUUCCAUACUUGCCAAAGUCAACAUUAAUAGCAAACAAAGUUCAAAAACAUAGUCACAGCUAAACAGAAAAUGAGUGUGACAUG